AAUUGAAUUGCAAAGUGCGAAAAGUGCUGGUGUAUUUAUUGCACCCCUGCUCUGUGGGGCUAAGAUUUACUAUUGGAGUUCAGCAGCUUGACGUAAGUUGGAAUCAACAAUAACUUUAGUAUUUUUGUUUUACGUCUCGGAACACAGAAGCUUCUCCCUGAGGGCAGAAGUUCAUAUUCAGGAAAGAGAGGAUGUAGAGAGUCUGCAGUUACUCUUUUGGCUUGUUUUCUGACAGCUUGCUCGUACAGGCGCUGUAUGGGCUUUUACUCUUU